rnacentral:rRNA from 1 species
GUGUCAGCAGCCGCGGUAAUACGUAGGGUGCGAGCGUUAAUCGGAAUUACUGGGCGUAAAGCGAGCGCAGACGGUUAAUUAAGUCAGAUGUGAAAUCCCCGAGCUCAACUUGGGACGUGCAUUUGAAACUGGUUAACUAGAGUGUGUCAGAGGGAGGUAGAAUUCCACGUGUAGCAGUGAAAUGCGUAGAGAUGUGGAGGAAUACCGAUGGCGAAGGCAGCCUCCUGGGAUAACACUGACGUUCAUGCUCGAAAGCGUGGGUAGCAAACAGGAUUAGAUACCCUGGUAGUCCACGCCCUAAACGAUGACAAUUAGCUGUUGGGACACUAGAUGUCUUAGUAGCGAAGCUAACGCGUGAAAUUGUCCGCCUGGGGAGUACGGUCGCAAGAUUAAAACUUAAUGAAUGACGG